ensembl:scaRNA
UGGAAAUGAUGAAGUAGAGGUAAUUGGGUGUUGAAUGUUGUAUGAUUGGAAAUUUUUAUUAUGUAAGUUAUGUAAUUAAUCUAAGUAUUUUUUUAAAAAGGAGAGCAUCAUAAAAUUACACUCCAG